rnacentral:lncRNA from 1 species
GCUGGUGGGACUGAUCAUUGGUACACACUGAUGGAUCAUGUGCUUCAUAUUUUAGGGUUAGUCUCUUCUGGGCCUAGUCAUGGGGCUGAUCAUGGCCAUAGUCACCGAAGAUUGAGAGAGGAUUAGGUGUUUUAUUGUUACGCAUGUCAUAUUUUCAAAAAGUAAUUUAUAUUUGUUGGGAAUUAUAUCCCUAAGUCAAUCGUCAGUCUAUUUAUGGUUGAGCUUAUUAUUAUAAUUAU